rnacentral:sRNA from 1 species
AGCUCUCUAUAAGAAGAGUUCCUGGCCUUCGAGGUUAUCUUUAACUCAAAAAUUAAGCAAAGGAAAGGCAAACAAGUCAAAAGCCGACUUGUGUUUAGCAUGCCGCCGGCUUUCUCACGGCAUAUUAUAUGGCUAUCAUAAGGCUACUACAUGGGACGUAGCCAACAGCAGCCACAGCCACACGUGAGGAGCAGGCGAACCAGAUGUAAGGAGGCGAUUCGCCCAUUACCAAUAAAGAGAAAAAAGGGAACGUCAUAGAAGACGGAAAGAAUGGAACCCCACAUUUUCAGGCUUGCGAAAAAAAAAGAACGUGUAGUAUUUAUUUGUACAGCAACCUCUUGCUGCACUUACUAUACAAUAAGCAGAUCACUCUCUCUACCAUAAAGUCCGGAGAUGAUACGCAUGCCAAUGAUACAGACCGUACCGAAGAAGAUAGGCAGGGGAGUUAGAUGACUCAAUGGCUUCAACGCCUUUGGCACUAAAGGCUAGAGUAGCAACGCCAAAUAAGUCAAGAGUAGUUGGGAGUAUCGAGCAUAGGAGGUCAAUGUCGUAGCGUGCGACUGAACAAAGACUCACCUUAUCUUUGAGAUAAGCUGUACGUCUGAAUAUGAUGCCUGGCAAGUGUUUGUAGGAUAGUAUGAUACGGCAAAAUCUUUCUCAGUUGGAGAUUGUGUGUAAUCUUCGAGGGUAGGGGGCUUAACAGGUUCUUUAUAUAUAGACAACAACACCCAUAGAAAGGUUAUUAUUCAGUGAUCACGGGCUUUCUGAUUCACAUCAACUACCGUCGGGAUUACUUGGCCCAUCCUUCUGGUUGGGCGAAUCUUUGUCAUGCUGAUCCAGGAGAUCAGUCUCAAUGGUAGGUGGGAACAAAGACAAGCCAUUCAUUAGCCAUCAGAGUGACCAGCUGAACACAUGUAUGUUCCUUUGUUCUCCCUUCCG